rnacentral:lncRNA from 10 species
CUUUGGGUCCGCCCGUUUCUCUAAUCAAGUUGUAACACUCGCUGCUGUGGUCCACAGCUUCAUUCCUUGAAGCCCGUGAGACACGAACGCUUCCAUUGAGAAAAACCUUCCAUCAGAAGAAGACUUCUCGUCUCAGUGGGACUGCUGAGUUGAAUGACUUGCAUCAUUUAUAUUUUUAAUUCAUCGAGGAUGAGAAAAUUGAUUAACACAAAAUCUUUUCAUGUCUUUUCUGAUGAGAGACUAGCUGAAUCCAAGAAGAGAAGCCCUUGAAGAGUGUAUUCUAUUCUAGACAAGCAUUCACACAUUGGCUUCUUUGGUGCCAGGUAAUUAGAAUUUGUAAUUUGGUCUUAAUUAAACUGCAGACUACCCAAAGGCCUUGAUCAGUGGCCUUUUGACUGCCUCCACCGUUUGGAGGAAACAAACAAAACACAAAUUAGCCUUUAAAAAUAUGCCCAUUGAUUUCUCCUCAUCUCCCCAAACAUAUACAACCCCACCAGAUAUAUAUUUAUAUUGGCUAUAAAAAUAUGCCCAUUGAUUUCUCCUCAUCUCCCCAAACAUAUACAACCCCACCAGAUAUAUAUUUAUAUUGGGUAUAAUGUCAACAUAUAUCAAAUGUGCCAAUUAAACACAGAGCUCCUCUAAACUACCAAGCAUGUUAUUAUUAUUAUUUUAAUUUUUAAAACAUUUCUAACUUAACAGAAACAUUGGCCGGGCAGCACUAAUUGUAUCAUUCCUAUGUACUACCAACUUCUCACCAGUAUUGAACUUGAUCUUCAAAACUCUUCCCAGAUAGGGCUAUUUUUCCACUGACUCUAUUGUUAUUCCUUCCCAUUUUCCCUCCUCUGUUUUUGAUGCUUUUUAUUUUGGUUAGCAUGUUUCUGAUCAGCAUGAAAACUGCGCAGGAGCUUUUCUGUCUUGCAGAGCUAGUUAAUGAGAUUGUUGCUGCCUUCAGAUUCUAUAAAGGACUUCUCCAAUAUUGGAUUAAAGAAUGAAGAAAGGAUCAAAUUGAGACAUCCAGGGGGGAAGAGUUCCCUGGCAAAACUCCAAUCUGCCUGAGCACUGAGGUGGAGCCACAGAAGUCCGGGUCAUUUGCACCUGGGAGGAGCCUGGCCCCUCCUCUUCCUGUGUGGAAUCUGGGAUUUAAUCUGUGAGGAGGGAAGGCCAAGGGCAGGAAGCACAGGCUCUCACUUCACUAAGAGUCUCUGUUUCCCCUUUUUUUCCUUUAUGCCUAAUUAAUAAAUCCCAUUUUUCUCACUCUUCAAAUAGUCUUCAAGCCUAAAUUUUCAUGACCAUGGAACAAGGACCCCAUCUUUAGCUGAACUAAGGAAAAGUCCUGCAACAAAAUUCUUUGCUAAAAAUACAUGAGGUUGCCUUUUCCUUCUUAAUCUUAAAAGAAAUAUAUUUCAAUGGUUAACGUUUUAGUAAUUCAAAAAUUAUCAAGCAUUUGUUCACAACCAUAAGAUGUGCAUUGUUUUAUAUUCCUACUUAAUAAUAGACUAUAAUUGUCUAAUUAGACUGCCGAUGUUGAUCUUUGUGGCUCAUUGCAUUGAUUAUAAGCAGUGUUUUGGGUUUGUGUGUGUGUGUCAAAUUUAGGGUUUUUUUGGUAUGGCUGCUGGUUGGUGUAGCCUGUAUCCAGUAUCCUGUAUUAAUUCUAAUAUUUGCAUUUUGAACAUAUUUACAAGUUGCUAAAAUAGCAAAGCUUCGAGAUGAGCCUGGCUGAUAUGGCAAAACCCCGUCUCUACUAAAAAUACAAAAAUUAGCCUGGUGUGGUGGUGCAUGCCUGUAAUCCCAGCUACUUGGAAGUCUGAGGCAGGAGAAUCUCUUGAACCCAGAAGGUGGAGGUUGCAGUGGGCCAAGAUCGCACCACUGCACUCCAGCCUCGGUGAUAGAGCGAGACUACGUCUC